rfam:Streptomyces uncialis strain DCA2648 scaffold10, whole genome shotgun sequence.
CGAGCCGGGCGGGCGGCCGCGUGGGCAUCCUUCGGAUGCUCCCGAGGAACGUCCGGGCUCCACAGGGCAGGGUGGUGGCUAACGGCCACCCGGGGUGACCCGCGGGACAGUGCCACAGAAAACAGACCGCCGGGGACCGUAUCCGUACGGACCCAGGUAAGGGUGAAACGGUGGUGUAAGAGACCACCAGUGCCCAGGGUGACCUGGGCAGCUAGGUAAACCCCACCCGGAGCAAGGUCAAGAGGGAGCACCCAGGUGCUCCUGCGCGGACGUUCGAGGGCUGCUCGCCCGAGUCCGCGGGUAGACCGCACGAGGCCGGUGGCAACACCGGUCCUAGAUGGAUGGCCGCCAGCCCGGCGACCGCGAGGUCCCGGGGCCACAGAACCCGGCGUACGACCCGGCUCGUCUG